rnacentral:rRNA from 1 species
AAUGGGCGAAAGCCUGACGGAGCGACGCCGCGUGGGGGAGGAAGGCCUUCGGGUUGUAAACCCUUGUUCUGGGGGAAGAAGGGAGUGACGGUACUCCAGGAGGAAGCCCCGGCUAACUACGUGCCAGCAGCCGCGGUAAGACGUAGGGGGCGAGCGUUGUCCGGAAUUACUGGGCGUAAAGGGCGCGUAGGCGGCCCAGGAAGUCGGGGGUGAAAGACCGCAGCUCAACUGCGGGGUGGCCCUUGAAACCACUGGGCUUGAGGGCAGGAGAGGGGAGUGGAAUUCCCGGU